rnacentral:rRNA from 1 species
CCUACGGGCGGCAGCAGUGAGGAAUAUUGGUCAAUGGGCGCGAGCCUGAACCAGCCAAGUCGCGUGCGGGAUGAAGGUUCUAUGGAUCGUAAACCUCUUUUAUAAGGGAAUAAAGUGUGGGACGUGUCCUAUUUUGUAUGUAUCUUAUGAAUAAGGAUCGGCUAACUCCGUGCCAGCAGCCGCGGUAAUACGGAGGAUCCGGGCGUUAUCCGGAUUUAUUGGGUUUAAAGGGUGCGUCGGCGGGCUUUUAAGUCAGCGGUGAAAGUCUGUGGCUCAACCAUGGAAUUGCAGUUGACACUGGGGGGCUUGAGUAUGUUUGAGGCAGGCGGAAUGCGUGGUGUAGCGGUGAAAUGCUUAGAUAUCACGAAGAACCCCGAUUGCGAAGGCAGCCUGCCAAGCCAUGACUGACGCUGAUGCACGAAAGCGUGGGGAUCAAACAGGAUUAGAUACCCCGGUAGUC